GUGCUUGCUUCGGCAACACAUAUACUAAAAUUGGAACGAUAUAGAGAUUAGCAUGGCCCCUGUGUAAGGAUGACAUGGAAAUUUGUGAAGUGUUCCUUAUUUUU
ensembl:snRNA U6 U6 spliceosomal RNA